rnacentral:rRNA from 1 species
UGGGGAAUAUUGGACAAUGGGCGAAAGCCUGAUCCAGCCAUGCCGCGUGUGUGAAGGAGGCCUUUUGGUUGUAAAGCACUUUAAGUGGGGAGGAAAAGCUUAUGGUUAAUACCCAUAAGCCCUGACGUUACCCACAGAAUAAGCACCGGCUAACUCUGUGCCAGCAGCCGCGGUAAUACAGAGGGUGCAAGCGUUAAUCGGAAUUACUGGGCGUAAAGCGCGCGUAGGUGGUUAUUUAAGUCAGAUGUGAAAGCCCCGGGCUUAACCUGGGAACUGCAUCUGAUACUGGAUAACUAGAGUAGGUGAGAGGGGAGUAGAAUUCCAGGUGUAGCGGUGAAAUGCGUAGAGAUCUGGAGGAAUACCGAUGGCGAAGGCAGCUCCCUGGCAUCAUACUGACACUGAGGUGCGAAAGCGUGGGUAGCAAACAGGAUUAGAUACCCUGGUAGUCCACGCCGUAAACGAUGUCUACCAGUCGUUGGGUCUUUUAAAGACUUAGUGACGCAGUUAACGCAAUAAGUAGACCGCCUGGGGAGUACGGCCGCAAGGUUA